CGCGAACUGCACGCUGCAGUCAGGGGCUUCUCAGCAAGUCGCAGCAAUGCAAAAUGUAGUGUGUGUGCGUUCACACGAAUGGGGGGAGAAUUUUGGCAGGGGAGAGAUUUUCGGCACAACACCGCCAAAUCGUACCAAUAUAUCCUUCAAACACCGGCGUCGAGGGCAUUAUCACUUUUAUACAACUCAAAUAAUGAUCGAAAUAUUUUCAUUCAAAACGUUAUUUUUUAUUAAUUUAUAAUUUCAUCCUUACACAAGAUAUAGUCCCGAGACCAAUCUAGGGUUGCUAACCAAGCCGGCUGGGCGUUCGUUCUAUUGGUUUGGUUGCCAGAGACGCGACCCAGUUGUUCAGUCUUUUUGUUCUGUAUCUAUGGGCACGACCCAGUCGUUCAUUCUAAAUGUUCCAUUGCCUUACUGGCUGGCAACGUCCUUAUCCCUUGCUUGCUAGCUAGCCAAUUUACAGUCACGUCAAACAGUGCAGACAGAAAAACAACAGUAGCUGCAUUUGUUUAAGCUGUUUUCUAGUGACAUUUAUUUGGAUUCAUCCAUAACAAUGAGCUAAUGUUAUGUGAGGCGCGAUUUCGUCAGGACACUUGUUCAGAGGAGCUAGCCAACACAAUCACUUCACAUUUUAACUGGAAAGACUGCAAACUACAGUAGCUGCACUUUUUUUCAAUUGCCAUUUUGUGAUGCCAGCUGAUUCAUGAUUUCGACUGGCUGAGAAACGCUGCCUGCCUGUCAAUCUCGUCCCGACUCGUUCAUUACUAUGGGACAGCUGUAGAUUGAAUUUGAAUAUUGAAACAAUAUUGCAAAUAUCGGAGAGACAGACAGCAAGGUUUAUACAAAUUGACUUCAGGGUGCAGUUCGCGGCCGGGCUCAAUGUGGGCGGAGUCAAACGUCGGGGCCGGGCUCAAUGUGGGCGGAGUCAAACGCGUUUAACCCAAAACCUUCCCGUCUCCUUCGAGGUCAAGCAAGUUGAGAAACAUUCCUCGGAUCUUGUCCCCUGGACCUUGGAGGACUUUUGUGGAUGAUGAUCAGGGCCUACCAAAGCAAGGUUUCUCAAACAACUGUGGGGUGUUUGUUUUGAUGUACAAUAAAUACAUGAUGAGCACUCAACACACUGCGCCUUGGUCUACUCCCUUCGACGGCCGUUACAGUGCAGAAAACAUGCAGCAAAUUAGGCGAUGUUGAUGCCUUAUUCUCCUGCAGAACUUUCCCAUGCCACGAUACUCAAAACAAAAUGCACGCCGAACUGGGAGCUGUGAACUGGGAAGCAGAUGUUCUUCUAAGGGACACCCUAGAGGCAGCAAGGUGAUGUGAACUCCAAACAUUUAAAGGCACUGUUUCCCUCCCUAGUGUAAUUGGGAUGGAAGGGGAAGACCGCAUUACAACCCUUAAAGAACUACAGUUGUAUGAUGGCCUGGAUGAAGAGAAAAAUGUUCUCCUCAAGGAACCAUUCAUGUUACAGAGAGAUUAUGAGUUGUUCUAUUUGGAGGCAGUUGACAACAAGAAAAUUACUGUCUUUGUCUCUUUUGAGGAGCAAAGCCAUUUUUGAGGAGUGGUUAAACUUUGUCUGCUGUGUUAAUUGUUUCAAUUGUUAAUUGUGUUGUUUAGUAAAGAUGACGUAGAAGUCAGCCGAGUCUGAUCUCUUUACUGGAGCUGGUAUAACUUAAUGUGCAAAGCACAUUCAGCUUGUCAGUAUAUCUAUAUGGUAUAGUCUGUCUCCAUUCUCAUGAGGAAAGUAAAUAACAUUAUAAAUCAGGAUGGGUAGUAACUGUGUGUAUAUAUGCUCAAUUAAAUAAUAUAAUUACAAAGUUAUAACAUUUAUCAACACAAUUUUAACAGUACAUAACAAGUCUGCUGUUCACUGCAACAAUUUCAGUAGUUUGUCUCAAAUAUAGUAUGACGCAAAAAGUGUUACAUCUGCUGGUACUUUAUAUAAUAUUUCUUACAAUCUUCAAAAAUGAAAUAUGUUUUUAUUCAACUUGUGCCUUGCGCAAAUGAGUGUUACUGUCAAACAUCAGAUGGACAAUAAAAAGGUGGGCAGGGUCAAAUGUGGGCAGAGUCAAACGUUUGACUCCGCCCACAUUGAACCCAGCCCCGAACUGCACACUGCAGUCAGGGGUACGUGGACUUGCUUGCUAGUUGAGAUUUCUGCUCUUCACUCCAUUGUCAGUUUAGCCUACAUUUCACUGAUCUUAGUAGCAGAAAGUAUUUUUUAUAUGUGUCCUUCAAGGCAGCUGUCAAUGAUCACGUUAGGCUGCGUUUCAUUUGAUUUGUUAUGGCGGUUUGAUCGCGGAGGAGGCACUAGUAAUGUCUGCAGUUUUCGGUUUGUCAUUUUGUUUCAAGUGUAUUAGUCUAUAAAUAAAUCUCUUUGCCAAAAUUCAUCUCUCCCAUGUCUUAUUCAACUAGUAGUUGUUCUGAAAUGUUUGCUUGCCUACAUUUUACUCGGUUUAAUACAACACACAUUAAGUCAGAGGCAAGACCAAGACUGGAGGGGGGA
rnacentral:lncRNA from 1 species